rnacentral:sRNA from 2 species
UUUUAUUUCGCGCUAGGGAUUGAUGCGGCAUCCUUUUUUUGUUUUUUUCUGAACAAAAAAAGAUACAGUGGAAAGCCCGCCCGAGC